rnacentral:rRNA from 1 species
UACGUAGGGUGCAAGCGUUGUCCGGAUUUAUUGGGCGUAAAGAGCUCGUAGGCGGUCUGUCGCGUCGGAUGUGAAAACCCAGGGCUCAACCCUGGGCCUGCAUUCGAUACGGGCAGACUAGAGUAUGGCAGGGGAGACUGGAAUUCCUGGUGUAGCGGUGAAAUGCGUAGAUAUCAGGAGGAACACCGGUGGCGAAGGCGGCUACCUGGCCUAAGACUGACGCUGAGGUGCGAAAGCGUGGGGAGCGAACGGG